rnacentral:rRNA from 1 species
GAUGAACGCUGGCGGCGUGCCUAAUACAUGCAAGUCGAGCGAACGGACGAGAAGCUUGCUUCUCUGAUGUUAGCGGCGGACGGGUGAGUAACACGUGGAUAACCUACCUAUAAGACUGGGAUAACUUCGGGAAACCGGAGCUAAUACCGGAUAAUAUUUUGAACAGCAUGGUUCAAAAGUGAAAGACGGUCUUGCUGUCACUUAUAGAUGGAGCCGCGCUGCAUUAGCUAGUUGGUAAGGUAACGGCUUACCAAGGCAACGAUGCAUAGCCGACCUGAGAGGGUGAUCGGCCACACUGGAACUGAGACACGGUCCAGACUCCUACGGGAGGCAGCAGUAGGGAAUCUUCCGCAAUGGGCGAAAGCCUGACGGAGCAACGCCGCGUGAGUGAUGAAGGUCUUCGGAUCGUAAAACUCUGUUAUUAGGGAAGAACAUAUGUGUAAGUAACUGUGCACAUCUUGACGGUACCUACUCAGAAAGCCACGGCUAACUACGUG